rnacentral:rRNA from 1 species
UGUGAGUCAUUGUAGCAAUACAAGGCAGACGGCUCAGUAACACGUAGCCAAUCUACCCUAUGGACGGGGAUAACCUCGGGAAACUGAGGAUAAACCCCGAUAGAUCAUUAUGCCUGGAACGGUUUAUGGUCCAAAUGAUUCGUCGCCGUAGGAUGGGACUGCGGCCUAUCAGCUUGUUGGUGAGGUAAUGGCCCACCAAGGCUAUUACAGGUACGGGCUCUGAGAGGAGAAGCCCGGAGAUGGGUACUGAGACACGGACCCAGGCCCUAUGGGGCGCAGCAGGCGAGAAAACUUUGCAAUGUGCGCAAGCACGACAAGGUUAAUCCGAGUGUUUCCUGCUAAAGGAAUCUUUUGCUAGUCCUAAAAACACUAGCGAAUAAGGGGUGGGCAAGUUCUGGUGUCAGCCGCCGCGGUAAAACCAGCACCUCAAGUGGUCAGGAGGAUUAUUGGGCCUAAAGCAUCCGUAGCCUGCUCUGUAAGUUUCCGGUUAAAUCCAUUAGCUUAACUGAUGGGCCGCCGGAAAAACUGCAAAGCUAGGGAGUGGGAGAGGUAGACGGUACUCGGUAGGAAGGGGUAAAAUCCUUUGAUCUAUUGAUGACCACCUGUGGCGAAGGCGGUCUACCAGAACACGUUCGACGGUGAGGGAUGAAAGCUGGGGGAGCAAACCGGAUUAGAUACCCGGGUAGUCCCAGCUGUAAACGAUGCAGACUCGGUGAUGCCCUGGCUUGUGGCCAGUGCAGUG